GAUGAACGCUAGCGGCAGGCCUAAUACAUGCAAGUCGAACGGGAUCCAGAUCAAAGCUUGCUUUGGUCUGGUGAGAGUGGCGCACGGGUGCGUAACGCGUGAGCAACCUACCCUUGUCAGGGGGAUAGCCCGGCGAAAGUCGGAUUAAUACCGCAUGACAUCAUUGAGAGGCAUCUUUCGAUGAUCAAAGAUUUAUCGGACAAGGAUGGGCUCGCGUGACAUUAGCUCGUUGGUAAGGUAACGGCUUACCAAGGCUGCGAUGUCUAGGGGCUCUGAGAGGAGAAUCCCCCACACUGGUACUGAGACACGGACCAGACUCCUACGGGAGGCAGCAGUAAGGAAUAUUAGUCAAUGGACGGAAGUCUGAACCAGCCAUGCCGCGUGCAGGAGGACGGCCCUAUGGGUUGUAAACUGCUUUUAUACGGGAACAAACGUCGGUACGUGUACCGGUCUGAGUGUACCGUAAGAAUAAGGAUCGGCUAACUCCGUG
rnacentral:rRNA from 1 species